GACGGGUGAGUAACGCGUGGGGAAUCUACCUCUUUGUGGGGAAUAACGCUCCGAAAGGAGUGGUAAUACCGCAUGAGAUCCAUGGCUGGGAUGCUGUGGAUGAAACCUGGGGAUCGCAAGACCUGGGGCAAGGAGAGGAUCCUGCGUCUGAUUAGCUAGUUGGUGAGGUAACGGCCCACCAAGGCAACGAUCAGUAGCCGGCCUGAGAGGGUGAUCGGCCACACUGGAACUGAGACACGGUCCAGACUCC
rnacentral:rRNA from 1 species